rnacentral:rRNA from 1 species
UACGUAGGGUGCAAGCGUUGUCCGGAAUUAUUGGGCGUAAAGAGCUCGUAGGCGGUUUGUCGCGUCUGCUGUGAAAACCCGAGGCUCAACCUCAGGCCUGCAGUGGGUACGGGCAAACUAGAGUGCGGUAGGGGAGAAUGGAAUUCCUGGUGUAGCGGUGGAAUGCGCAGAUAUCAGGAGGAACACCGAUGGCGAAGGCAGUUCUCUGGGCCGUAACUGACGCUGAGGAGCGAAAGCGUGGGGAGCGAACAGG